rnacentral:rRNA from 1 species
AGCGCGUGCCGGUAAACCUGCGGUCGCAGGAUCCGUGGAGAUAUGGGUGUGGUGGUGGUCUAGUGUGGAGUUGUGGCUCGUGACGCACGUCAGGAGUCGUAGACCGCGUGUGGACCGUUGUCGACCGAUCGGGGCUCUCCGUCCACGGCGUCGCUAGUAGAGAGAGGAGCCAGGGUGCUGCUUGGGUCGUGUGCCUAGACAUUGUGAGUCAGGCUUCUGGCUCGAUGGAAAAGGUGCGUGGAACAGCAGGCAGCUCUUGGCUGCGACUGCGCGUGCGGGCACCUCACGUGGUAUCGAGCGGGUGGCGGCGGUGGCGUCCAUCAGGUAAGCCUAGGUGUGUUGCCGUUGAGCUGUUCUGAUCGGCCGACUUGGUGUCUGCGCGUAACGAUCGGCUCGCGCAAAGGGAAAGUUGCCAAAGUGCACGAAAAU